UCCUAAACACUGGAAAGAGCUCCAGGAAAAUUACUUGAGCUUUCCCUUCUGCUUUUGCAUGAAGCAGAUGAGGUCUCUGGCCUCAUGACAACCCCUUAAUCAUAAUUAAAUUGCAGCUCUUCUGUAAACCUUCCCUGUAGACAUAGCACUGGGUGACCCGAAAGGAUACCUUAUGAUUUACAGCCUUUCCUGUGUUUGCAGAUCAUAAUCUGCAAGGCAAAAAUGUACAUAGAAAAAUCCUUGCCAGUUACCUAAUGUGCACGCUUGGCCUGUGCUCCCAUUUGAAUUCAGCACAAGAGAAAGAACUGACAUCCCUCUCACUUUGGUAUGCUCGUGGCAUUCUCUGGGCUUACAAAGGUGUGGCAAAGCUCUUGCCUGUGGGACACAAGGGGCUCUAUCUGUGCCAGAACAGGUUUUAUCACAGAAGCACGAAGGGAAACACACAAGUGAUUAAAUAUCUAAAGAUUUUGUACAGCCUCUCUUCCUGUAACCUUAUACACUGAGAUUUUGAUUCAGGCUUUAAACAUGGAUAUUUGAAAUAGAAAGAUGUUGUCUUCUUAUUUCUCACUGAUGAUACCAUCACCCUCUCUGCCCUAAACACCAAGCUCACCCACUGUUCUACUGAGAAAAGGACCUUGGCAUCAUCUGGGGGUGGAGUGCAUUUGCUCUGUUCAGCCUUGUCAUCAGUAUCAGCGUGCCCCCACAACUACCAUUAACGCAGGCUGCCUGACUGCUGGCCACCCCCAUGGCAAGCAGACACACUUGUGUUACUUCUACUAUUAACACCAACUCUAGAAUCCACUGCUGACAAGGGGCAUGUUUGCACCACCAAGAUACACAUAUAUCUCUUGCUACAACUGCUGUGCUGCCAGCAUGCUGCUAUUCAGUUGCCAAUUUACCAUUCAAUACUGCUACAAGUACUGUUAGAAAGCAAGCAUCAGACAGUGCUGAAACUCCAUCUGCACAUCCUAAACCAUCCAGAUUGUCUAGCUUGGCCUCCUGUGUAACUGAC